rnacentral:siRNA from 1 species
CCAAAUUCCUAAUAUGAUAUCAUA